rnacentral:rRNA from 1 species
AUUGAACGCUGGCGGCAUGCUUUACACAUGCAAGUCGAACGGUAACAGGCCGCAAGGUUCUGACGAGUGGCGAACGGUUGAGUAAUGCAUCGGAACGUGCCCAGUCGUGGGUGUUAACUACUCGAAAGAUUAGCUAAUACCGCAUACGAUCUAUGGAUGACUGCGGGGGACCGUAAGGCCUCGCGCGAUUUUAGCCGCCGAUGUCAGAUUAUGUAGUUGGUGGGGUAAAGGCUCACCAAGCCAACGAUCUGUAGCUGGUCUGAGAGGACGACCAGCCACACUGGGACUGAGACACGGCCCAGACUCCUACGGGAGGCAGCAGUGGGGAAUAUUGGACAAUGGGCGCAAGCCUGAUCCAGCAAUGCCGCGUGCAGGAAGAAGGCCUUCGGGUUGUAAACUGCUUUUGUACGGAACGAAACGGAGCUGGUUAAUACCCGGGGCUAAUGACGGUACCGUAAGAAUAAGCACCGGCUAACUACGUG